rnacentral:antisense_RNA from 1 species
GGUGCAAUCCUGGCUCACUGCAACCUCUGCCUCCCAGGUUCAAGUGAUUCUCCUGCCUCAGCUUCCCGAGUAGCUGGGACUACAGGCGUGUGCCACCACGCCCAGAGGCCAGGUGCAGUGCAUGUAAUCCCAGCACUUUGGGAGACUGAGAUGGGAAGAUCGCUUGAGGCCAGGAGUGCAAGACCAGCCUGGGCAACACAGCAAGACCUUGACUCUACUAAAAAAAAAAAAGGAUCCUUCAACUUCAACAAUAAUAACACGAGGGAAGUGAAGAAAAACACUUUCUAAGGAAAUCUCUCUCUGAGCUACCAUCCUGCUAGGGAGAGCCUGAAAGCAGAAUGCUGACUUGACUAGCUCUGGUCAAUGAAAGAAAUCACUAGUGGAAAGGCUACCAGGGGGCUUUCUCAAAAGAGAGGGACAGUAAACUGCAAGAUGAACAACUCAAUGCCAUCCAGGUCUGGAUGAGAAAGAACAGUCGAGAGACUGAGUUUCAGGAGUGGAAACACCCAAAGCAUCAUCUUCCACUUUCUUCUCCGGCUGCUAGGAAGAAGGGAAAAACACAGACCUUCUGAGGACCUGUGGAGCAAACCACUGGCUUCAGAAAAGCAAACAGGGACUUCCCUCUGCGCAGCAGGAAGCAGUUAGCCUAGUCGGAGGCUUGACUGAAGAAACAAAUGAGGGAAAGCAGAAGUUGAGAUGCAGCCAGUAGAGGAAACUCUGGGAGAGGCAGGCAGCGUCACUUGAAGAAAAGCUCUGUUGUGAUGGGAACAAUCACAGGAACUAAGCGGCAACAAAAUGGCUCCCCACCCCCUCUGCAAAUCCCAACUCCAUGCAAGCACUCUCCCUUCCCUCAUUUUCUUUUCUUUUCUUUUGAGAUGGAGUCUCGCUCUGUUGCCCAGGCUGGAGUGCAGUAGCGCGAUCUCGGCUCACUGCAACCUCCACCUUCUGGUUUCAAGCAAUUCUCCUGCCUCGGCCUCCCCAGUAGCUGGGACUACAGGCGUGUGCCACCACGCCCGGCUAAUUUUUUUUUUUUUUUUUAGUAGAGACAGAGUUUCACCAUGUUGGCCAGGCUGGUCUCGAACUCCUGGCCUCAAGUGAUCCACCUGCCUCAGCCUCCCAAAGUGGUGGGAUUACAGGUGUAAGCGACCACGCCCGGCCUUUUAAAAUCGACUUGAGUCUCAUCUCCUGAAAUGCAAAAUGCAUUGGGCCUGUCUCUUACUUUUGCAUGUCUCAUAAUGCUUAGCACAGCACAAGCCCCGAGAGCGCAUCAUACACCCUGGGGUGGGGAGCUCCUGGCAGGGCUGGAUCCACUCACCAUUCCUGCCAUCCAUUGGCACUUGGCUCAGCACAGUUAGGCCAACAAGGACAUAAUAGACAAGUCCAAAACAGUACUGCACGACGUGAAUCAUGACAUUGGAGAAGACACUGACGUAGAGGCACUCGAAGAGUCUUCGUAAGCUGUGCAGCCACAGAAAUACUAGCACUAAGAAUGCAGACAGUGCCAGCUCCCCUCCUACAAUUCAGAAGGCAACAGGGUCAGCAUUUCUCUUCUGGGAUUAAUCCAAAGUUUUGUUUUUCCGUACUGUUAAGCAAAGUAUUAAAUCCCGUCUAACAUC